rnacentral:rRNA from 1 species
AUAACGGUCCUAAGGUAGCGAAAUUCCUUGUCAGGUAAGUUCUGACCCGCACGAAAGGCGUAACGAUUUGGGCGCUGUCUCGGCAGCAGACUCGGUGAAAUCUUAGUACCUGUGAAAAUGCAGGUUACCCGCAACUAGACGGAAAGACCCCAUGGAGCUUUACUGCAGCCUGAUAUUGAGUUUCGAUCAGAGAUGUACAGGAUAGGUGGGAGACAAAGAGACAUGCACGCCAGUGUAUGAGGAGUCGCUGUUGGGAUACCACUCUUGUCUGAUUGGAAUUCUAACCUGCAUCCCUAAGCGGGAUGAGGGACCGUGUCAGGUGGGCAGUUUGACUGGGGCGGUCGCCUCCCAAAGAGUAACGGAGGCGCCCAAAGGUACGCUCAGAUUGGAUGGAAAUCAAUCGACGAGUGCAAAUGCAGAAGCGUGCUUGACUGUGAGACAAACAAGUCGAACAGGGACGAAAGUCGGGAUUAGUGAUCCGGCGGUGCCGAAUGGAAGGGCCGUCGCUCAACGGAUAAAAGCUACCCUGGGGAUAACAGGCUGAUCUCCCCCAAGAGUCCACAUCGACGGGGAGGUUUGGCACCUCGAUGUCGGCUCAUCGCAUCCUGGGGCUGUAGCAGGUCCCAAGGGUUGGGCUGUUCGCCCAUUAAAGCGGUACGCGAGCUGGGUUCAGAACGUCGUGAGACAGUUCGGUCCCUAUCUGUUGUGGGCGAAGGAGAUUUGAGGAGAGCUGUCCUUAGUACGAGAGGACCGGGAUGGACCUACCGCUGGUGCACCGGUUGUUCCGCCAGGAGCAUAGCCGGGUAGCUAAGUAGGGAAGGGAUAAGCGCUGAAAGCAUCUAAGCGCGAAGCCUACUCCAAGAUGAGAUCUCCCAUUCGCAAGAAGUAAGACCCCUUGAAGACGACGAGGUAGAUAGGUCAGAGAUGGAAGUGUAGCGAUACAUGGAGUUGACUGAUACUAAUAGGUCGAGGACUUAAUCAC